rnacentral:rRNA from 1 species
GUAAGAGUGAAACACCCGUUCCCAUUCCGAACACGGUAGUUAAGCCUCUUACGCCAAUGGUACUGGCGAAAGCCGGGAGAGUAGGUCACUGCCGGAA